rnacentral:rRNA from 1 species
UACGUAGGGGGCAAGCGUUGUCCGGAAUCAUUGGGCGUAAAGAGCGCGUAGGCGGCCCUGUAAGUCCGCUGUGAAAGUCAAGGGCUCAACCCUUGGAUGCCGGUGGAUACUGCAGGGCUAGAGUCCGGAAGAGGCGAGUGGAAUUCCUGGUGUAGCGGUGAAAUGCGCAGAUAUCAGGAGGAACACCAAUUGCGAAGGCAGCUCGCUGGGACGUGACUGACGCUGAGACGCGAAAGCGUGGGGAGCAAACAGG